UACGGAGGGUCCAAGCGUUAUCCGGAAUCAUUGGGUUUAAAGGGUCCGUAGGCGGUUUUGUAAGUCAGUGGUGAAAGCCCAUCGCUCAACGGUGGAACGGCCAUUGAUACUGCAAGACUUGAAUUAUUAGGAAGUAACUAGAAUAUGUAGUGUAGCGGUGAAAUGCUUAGAGAUUACAUGGAAUACCAAUUGCGAAGGCAGGUUGCUACCAAUACAUUGACGCUGAUGGGACG
rnacentral:rRNA from 1 species